rnacentral:rRNA from 1 species
GUGGGGAAUCUUCCGCAAUGGACGAAAGUCUGACGGAGCAACGCCGCGUGAGUGAUGAAGGUCUUCGGAUUGUAAAGCUCUGUUAAUCGGGACGAAAGAGCCUAGUGUGAAUAAUGCUAGGAAGUGACGGUACCGGAAUAGAAAGCCACGGCUAACUACGUGCCAGCAGCCGCGGUAAUACGUAGGUGGCAAGCGUUGUCCGGAAUUAUUGGGCGUAAAGCGCGCGCAGGCGGAUCUGCCAGUCUGUCUUAAUAGUUCGGGGCUUAACCCCGUGAUUGGAUGGAAACUACAGAUCUAGAGUAUCGGAGAGUGAAGUGGAAUUCCUAGUGUAGCGGUGAAAUGCGUAGAUAUUAGGAAGAACACCAGUGGCGAAGGCGACUUUCUGGACGAAAACUGACGCUGAGGCGCGAAAGCCAGGGGAGCGAACGGGAUUAGAAACCCCUGUAGUCC